rnacentral:rRNA from 1 species
UANNAUGCAGUCGAACGGUAGCAGGAAGGAAGCUUGCUUUCUUUGCUGACGAGUGGCGGACGGGUGAGUAAUNCUUGGGAAUCUGGCUUAUGGAGGGGGAUAACUGCGGGAAACUGCAGCUAAUACCGCGUAAAGUCUUUGGACUAAAGGGGGCGUUUGCUCUUGCCAUAAGAUGAGCCCAAGUGGGAUUAGGUAGUUGGUGGGGUAAUGGCUCACCAAGCCGUCGAUCUCUAGCUGGUCUGAGAGGAUGACCAGCCACACCGGGACUGAGACACGGCCCGGACUCCUACGGGAGGCAGCAGUGGGGAAUAUUGCGCAAUGGGGGAAACCCUGACGCAGCCAUGCCGCGUGAAUGAAGAAGGCCUUCGGGUUGUAAAGUUCUUUCGGUGAUGAGGAAGGCAGUUUGGUUAAUAGCCAAGCUGAUUGACGUUAGUCACAGAAGAAGCACCGGCUAACUCCGUGCCAGCAGCCGCGGUAAUACGGAGGGUGCGAGCGUUAAUCGGAAUAACUGGGCGUAAAGGGCACGCAGGCGGAUUUUUAAGUGAGGUGUGAAAGCCCCGGGCUUAACCUGGGAAUUGCAUUUCAGACUGGGAAUCUAGAGUACUUUAGGGAGGGGUAGAAUUCCACGUGUAGCGGUGAAAUGCGUAGAGAUGUGGAGGAAUACCGAAGGCGAAGGCAGCCCCUUGGGAAUGUACUGACGCUCAUGUGCGAAAGCGUGGGGAGCAAACAGGAUUAGAUACCCUGGUAGUCCACGCUGUAAACGCUGUCGAUUUGGGGGUUGGGGUUUAACUCUGGCGCCCGUAGCUAACGUGAUAAAUCGACCGCCUGGGGAGUACGGCCGCAAGGUUAAAACUCAAAUGAAUUGACGGGGGCCCGCACAAGCGGUGGAGCAUGUGGUUUAAUUCGAUGCAACGCGAAGAACCUUACCUACUCUUGACAUCCAGAGAAUCCUGUAGAGAUACGGGAGUGCCUUCGGGAGCUUUGAGACAGGUGCUGCAUGGCUGUCGUCAGCUCGUGUUGUGAAAUGUUGGGUUAAGUCCCGCAACGAGCGCAACCCUUAUCCUUUGUUGCCAGCGAUUAGGUCGGGAACUCAAGGAGACUGCCGGGAUAACCGAGAGAGGGGGGGGGAANCAGAAU